UACGUAGGGGGCAAGCGUUGUCCGGAAUUAUUGGGCGUAAAGAGCUCGUAGGCGGCUUGUCACGUCUGCUGUGAAAACUCGGGGCUCAACCCCGAGCCUGCAGUGGAUACGGGCUAGCUAGAGUGCGGUAGGGGAGACUGGAAUUCCUGGUGUAGCGGUGAAAUGCGCAGAUAUCAGGAGGAACACCGGUGGCGAAGGCGGGUCUCUGGACCGAUACUGACGCUGAGGAGCGAAAGCGUGGGGAGCGAACAGG
rnacentral:rRNA from 1 species